GGACUACUGGGGUUUCUAAUCCCGUUUGCUCCCCUGGCUUUCGUGUCUCAGUGUCAGCACACCCCCAGCUACCUGUUUUCACCAUUGGCGUUCCUAACGAUAUCUACGCAUUUCACCGCUCCACCGUUAGUUCCGGUAGCCCCUGAGUGGCUCAAGACACCCAGUAUGUCAAGCAAUUCCACGGUUAAGCCGUGGGAUUUCACAAAACACUUAGGCAUCCACCUACACACGCUUUAAGCCCAGUGAUUCCGCCUAACGCUUGAGGCCUCUGUAUUACCGCGGCUGCUGGCAC
rnacentral:rRNA from 1 species